ACCUUUCCCGACGAAAUUUCGUCGGCAAAGAUAUUUUCGUCGGGGCAAACCUAAUCCGGCAAAUUUUGUCGGCAUAGAUCUUUGCCGACGAAAUUUCGUCGGGAGAAGUGUUCAUGUGUUUUUUUUUUUUUUUUGAAAAGUAUAAAGUUUAAAAAUAUGGAUAUGUUUAAACUAGCAAAUUAAUAUCUAUAAAGUACAAGCUAAUGCAACUUGGAGGGUCCUUCUUUCUGUUAUUUAUUUAUUAAAUACUAUAUUUACACAGUAUAGCCGUGCGGCUGUACUGUAUUUUUCUUUUUUAAAAAUAGUCUAGCCGGGCGGCUAUACUUUUUGGGGACACGUGGCGCCUAAUCGCUGGAGGCUCCUUUUUUAAGACCAAAAAAUAGUACAGCCGCACGGCUAUACUCGGUGUUUUUUAAAAAGUCGACACGUGGCGCCUUUUUUAUUAAAAACAGUAUAGCCGCACGGCUAUACUCAGUUUUUUUUUUUUUAAAUUUUUUUUUUUUUUUUUUUUUUUUAAUGAAAAGGUAGGCUACACCCUUUAAGUAGCAUGGUAUGUAUUUCACUUUUUUAAUUACUUUGAUUAGUAAAGGAGAAAAAGAAGAAGAGAAAAUUGAAUUACUAUUCAUUAAGUAAUAUAAUUCAUGAAGUUAAUUAAAAUAUUUAAUCAUAAUCAGUCAUUAAAUAAAUAAACUAAUUAAAAUAUAAUUGCUAAUUCAACUAAUUAAAUCUCCAAAUAUAUUAUGUGGAUACUAAAAAUAAAAUUUUUAAAAAUUAAUUAACCUAACAUCCUAAGUUUAUACUUAUUUUUUAAAAUUAAGACCUUUCCCGACGAAAUUUCGUCGGCAAAGAUAUUUUCGUCGGGGCAAACCUAAUCCGGCAAAUUUUGUCGGCAUAGAUCUUUGCCGACGAAAUUUCGUCGGGAGAAGUGUUCAUGUGUUUUUUUUUUUUUUUGAAAAGUAUAAAGUUUAAAAAUAUGGAUAUGUUUAAACUAGCAAAUUAAUAUCUAUAAAGUACAAGCUAAUGCAACUUGGAGGGUCCUUCUUUCUUUUAUUUAUUUAUUAAAUACUAUAUUUACAUAGUAUAGCCGUGCGGCUGUACUAUAUUUUUCUUUUUGAAAAAUAGUCUAGCCGGGCGGCUAUACUUUUUGGGGACACGUGGCGCCUAAUCGCUGGAGGCUCCUUUUUUUUAAGACCAAAAAAUAGUACAGCCGCACGGCUAUACGCGGUGUUUUUUAAAAAGUCGACACGUGGCGCCUUUUUAUAUUAAAAAUAGUAUAGCCGCGCGGCUAUACUCAGUUUUUUUUUUUUUUUUUUCAAUUUUUUUUUAAUGAAAAGGUAGGCUACACCCUUUAAGUAGCAUGGUAUGUAUUUCACUUUUUUAAUUACUUUGAUUAGUAAAGGAGAAAAAGAAGAAGAGAAAAUUGAAUUACUAUUCAUUAAGUAAUAUAAUUCAUGAAGUUAAUUAAAAUAUUUAAUCAUAAUCAGUCAUUAAAUAAAUAAUAAUUAAAAUAUAAUUGCUAAUUCAGCUAAUUAAAUCUCCAAAUAUAUUAUGUAGUUACUAAAAAUAAAAUUUUUAAAAAUUAAUUAACCUAACAUCCUAAGUUUAUACUUAUUUUUUAAAAUUAAGACCUUUCCCGACGAAAUUUCGUCGGCAAAGAUAUUUUCGUCGGGGCAAACCUAAUCCGGCAAAUUUUGUCGGCAUAGAUCUUUGCCGACGAAAUUUCGUCGGGAGAAGUGUUCAUGUGUUUUUUUUUUUUUUUGAAAAGUAUAAAGUUUAAAAAUAUGGAUAUGUUUAAACUAGCAAAUUAAUAUCUAUAAAGUACAAGCUAAUGCAACUUGGAGGGUCCUUCUUUCUUUUAUUUAUUUAUUAAAUACUAUAUUCACAUAGUAUAGCCGUGCGGCUGUACUAUAUUUUCUUUUUGAAAAAUAGUCUAGCCGGGCGGCUAUACUGUUUGGGGACACGUGGCGCCUAAUCGCUGGAGGCUACUUUUUUUUAAGACCAAAAAAUAGUACAGCCGCACGGCUAUACUCGGUGUUUUUAAAAAGUCGACACGUGGCGCCUUCUUAUAUUAAAAAUAGUAUAGCCGGGCGGCUAUACUCAGUUUUUUUUUUUCUUUUAAUUUUUUAAUUUUUUUUUAAUGAAAAGGUAGGCUACACCCUUUAAGUAGCAUGGUAUGUAUUUCACUUUUUUAAUUACUUUGAUUAGUAAAGGAGAAAAAGAAGAAGAGAAAAUUGAAUUACUAUUCAUUAAGUAAUAUAAUUCAUGAAGUUAAUUAAAAUAUUUAAUCAUAAUGAGUCAUUAAAUAAAUAAUAAUUAAAAUAUAAUUGCUAAUUCAGCUAAUUAAAUCUCCAAAUAUAUUAUGUAGUUACUAAAAAUAAAAUUUUUAAAAAUUAAUUAACCUAACAUCC
rnacentral:lncRNA from 1 species